GACGAACGCUGGCGGCGUGCUUAACACAUGCAAGUCGAGCGGUAAGGCCCUUUCGGGGGUACGACGAGCGGCGAACGGGUGAGUAACACGUGGGUUACCUGCCCUCCAGCUCUGGGAUAAGACCUGGGAAACCGGGUCUAAUACUGGAUAUGACUCCAUGACGCAUGUUGUGGGGUGGAAAGCCUUGUGCGGCUGAGGAUGGGCCCGCGGCCUAUCAGCUUGUUGGUGGGGUGANGGCCUACCAAGGCGACGACGGGUAGCCGGCCUGAGAGGGCGACCGGCCACACUGGGACUGAGACACGGCCCAGACUCCUACGGGAGGCAGCAGUGGGGAAUCUUGCGCAAUGGGCGAAAGCCUGACGCAGCGACGCCGCGUGAGGGA
rnacentral:rRNA from 1 species